UGAAGUUUACGUUUUUGGCAGAACUGAAGGGAGCUUAAGGGCCAAAAGAAAAGGGUAAAUGAUGAUGACAAUGGAAGGAGUAGCCGUAAAACUUCCAUCCUAUUCAUUCCCAAUCAUACCUUCCCGCUGCUUUACUCGGAACUUCCGACCCUGUUCCAUAUCCGCUUCAACUCUUAAAGAAGCCCACCCGGCGGCCCCGUCUGCUCCACCUGCAUCCCCUUCCCUCGGUCACUUGACCCGACCCGAUUUCCCCAUCCUCCAUCAGGAAGUAAAUGGGUCUAGGCUUGUUUACUUGGACAAUGCUGCAACUUCCCAAAAGCCUACUGCUGUGAUAAGAGCUUUGCAGAAUUACUAUGAGUCUUACAAUUCGAAGGUGCAUCUUGGGAUUCAUUGCUUAAGUUCUCAACUUAGUGCAAGGGCAACAGAAGAAUAUGAACUGGCGAGAAAGAAGGUUUCCCACUUUAUCAAUGCAUCAGACUCCCGAGAAAUUGUUUUUACUAGGAAUGCUACUGAAGCUAUCAAUCUGGUUGCUCACACAUGGGGACUCCAAAAUAUAAAACCAGAUGAUGAGAUCUUACUUACAGUUGCUGAACAUCACAGUGCAAUCGUUCCUUGGCAACUUGUAGCUCAAAAGACAGGCGCUGUUUUGAAAUUUGUGGAAUUAAAUGGGGAUGAAGUUCCAGAUGCGGACAAUUUAAAAGAUAUGCUUUCAAGGAAAACAAAGCUUGUAGUUGUUCAUCAUGUCUCAAAUGUGCUUGGUUAUGUUCAUCCUAUCAAAGAUAUCGUUCUUUGUGCUCAUGAUGUUGGUGCAAAAGUUCUUGUAGAUGCUUGUCAGAGUGUUCCACAUAUGGUGGUUGAUGUACAGAAUCUGAAUGCUGACUUUCUUGUUGCUUCUUCUCACAAGAUGUGUGGGCCCACAGGCGUUGGAUUCUUGUAUGGAAAGAGUGAUCUCUUGUCUGCCAUGCCUCCAUUUUUAGGUGGUGGAGAAAUGAUAUCUGAUGUAUUCCUAGAUCAUUCCACUUAUGCAGAACCUCCAUCUAGGUUUGAGGCUGGAACUCCAGCAAUUGGGGAAGCAAUUGGGUUAGGAGCAGCUAUUGAUUAUUUGUCAGGACUUGGUAUGCAAAAGAUACAUGAUUAUGAGAUAUUUCUUGCUAAAUACCUAUACGAUAGCCUUAGUUCAGUCCCCAAUAUUCACAUUUAUGGUCCUGUCCCCUCAAAUCAUGUCUCCCGUGCUGCUCUUUGUUCUUUCAACAUCGACAAUAUUCACCCUACAGAUCUAGCAACUUAUCUUGACCAACAGCACGGAGUGGCUAUCCGAUCUGGUCACCAUUGUGCCCAACCUCUUCAUCGACAUUUAGGAGUCAGUGCAAGCGCCCGUGCGAGUCUUCACUUCUACAACACCGUAGAGGAUAUUGAUGACUUUAUCCGGGCCCUCGAUGACACAGUCAGCUUCUUUAAUUCUUUCAAGUAGAGAGCCUUGCUAGCCUCCUGUAAAUUGUUUGAACUGGUGUAGUCAAGCUUCUCUCAUGCAGGAGGUAAUUCUGAAGUCCUUUAAAUUGAACCGUUUUAACCCUUGUAGUAUUAUUUUUUGUAUUAGUUUUGACCCUGGAGUUGUAACCAGAGGGGUGUUGGAACGGUUCAACAUGAAAAGUACUACACAAAGACAGAAAAUUACACCUCCACUGUGCCCUUGUUGAUGUGCUCCAAUGUGCUCCAAUGUAAUAAAAGUUCUGUUCUUCCUAUCAAAGAUAUCGUGCUUAAUUUACUAAACCAUAUAGUCCAUAACUAAUUAACUUCUCCCCUUAAAGCAUAUAGUCAAGGAAAGACUGCUGCAAAUCAUCAACCCGCCCAGUCCAAGUUAUGACAACUUCUCUGAAAAUAAUAAUUUUCAUUACUAAACAAGUCAAGCCAAUGGUUGGAAGGAGAUGGCGUCAGUCUCCUAUCAAUGGAAAGAGCACCAUCACUAAAUAAAUUUCACCCCAUGUAAUUCUUUUGAAUAUGCUUCUAACUUAGAUAGAAUCAUCAUUAAAAAUUGUCACUGCAGAGCAGGAUAUGCAUGUCACACAAUGUGGAGGUCAAGAAAUUGUUGAUUAAAAAUUAUCGAGUUCCUGUCUGAUGUGCAAUCAUAUUGCAGAGCAUGUAACUAUCUGAGCAUCACCUGGUUUCUUCUUCUGUGUCUUCAUGACUAUGGACAUGCAAGUUUUGCCUAGACACGGCUUCCGCUCGUAUUUCUC